rnacentral:rRNA from 1 species
UACGUAGGGAGCAAGCGUUGUCCGGAAUCAUUGGGCGUAAAGCGCGCGUAGGCGGCCCUGUAAGUCCGCUGUGAAAGUCAAAGGCUCAACCUUUGAAAGCCGGUGGAUACUGUCGGGCUCGAGUCCGGAAGAGGCGAGUGGAAUUCCUGGUGUAGCGGUGAAAUGCGCAGAUAUCAGGAGGAACACCGAUGGCGAAGGCAGCUCGCUGGGACGGUACUGACGCUGAGGCGCGAAAGCGUGGGGAGCGAACAGG